AUUGAACGCUGGCGGCAGGCCUAACACAUGCAAGUCGAGCGAGCGGCGGACGGGUGAGUAAUGUAUGGGGACUGCCCGAUAGAGGGGGAUAACUACUGGAAACGGUGGCUAAUACCGCAUACUAUCGGAUAACCCAUAUGGGAUUAGCUAGUAGGUGGGGUAAAGGCUCACCUAGGCGACGAUCCCUAGCUGGUCUGAGAGGAUGAUCAGCCAAACUGGAACUGAGACACGGUCCAGACUCCUACGGAGGCAGCAGUGGGGAAUAUUGCACAAUGGGGGCAAGCCUGAUGCAGCCAUGCCGCGUGAAUGAAGAAGGCCUUCGGGUUGUAAAGUACUUUCGGUGGGGAGGCGUUAACUGCAGAAGAAGCACCGGCUAACUCCGUGCCAGCAGCCGCGGUAAUAC
rnacentral:rRNA from 1 species